CUUAAAUGAAUUGACGGGGGAGCACCACAACGGGUGGAGCUUGCGGUUUAAUUGGAUUCAACGCCGGAAAUCUUACCGGGACCGACAGCAAUAUGAAGGCCAGGCUGAAGACUUUGCCGGAUUAGCUGAGAGGUGGUGCAUGGCCGUCGUCAGUUCGUACUGUGAAGCAUCCUGUUAAGUCAGGCAACGAGCGAGACCCACGCCCACAGUUGCCAGCGUACUCUCUGGAGUGACGGGUACACUGUGGGACCGCCGCUGCUAAAGCGGAGGAAGGAAUGGGCAACGGUAGGUCAGUAUGCCCCGAAUAUCCCGGGCUACACGCGAGCUACAAUGGUUGGUACAAUGGGUAUCUACCCCGAAAGGGGACGGGAAUCUCCUAAAACCAAUCUUAGUUCGGAUUGAGGGCUGCAACUCGCCCUCAUGAAGCUGGAAUCCGUAGUAAUCGCGUUUCAACAGAACGCGGUCGAAUUACCCGUCCCUGCUCCUU
rnacentral:rRNA from 1 species